GAUGAACGCUGGCGGCGUGCCUAAUACAUGCAAGUCGAGCGAACGGACGAGAAGCUUGCUUUUCUGAUGUUAGCGGCGGACGGGUGGGUAACACGUGGAUAACCUACCUAUAAGACUGGGAUAACUUCGGGAAACCGGAGCUAAUACCGGAUAAUAUUUUGAACCGCAUGGUUCAAAAGUGAAAGACGGUCUUGCUGUCACUUAUAGAUGGAUCCGCGCUGCAUUAGCUAGUUGGUAAGGUAACGGCUUACCAAGGCAACGAUGCAUAGCCGACCUGAGAGGGUGAUCGGCCACACUGGAACUGAGACACGGUCCAGACUCCUACGGGAGGCAGCAGUGGGGAAUCUUCCGCAAUGGGCGAAAGCCUGACGGAGCAACGCCGCGUGAGUGAUGAAGGUCUUCGGAUCGUAAAACUCUGUUAUUAGGGAAGAACAUAUGUGUAAGUAACUGUGCACAUCUUGACGGUACCUAAUCAGAAAGCCACGGCUAACUACGUG
rnacentral:rRNA from 1 species